rnacentral:rRNA from 1 species
UACGGAGGAUCCAAGCGUUAUCCGGAUUCACUGGGUUUAAAGGGUGCGUAGGUGGGCAGGUAAGUCAGUGGUGAAAUCUCCGGGCUUAACUCGGAAACUGCCAUUGAUACUAUCUGUCUUGAAUACCGUGGAGGUCAGCGGAAUAUGUCAUGUAGCGGUGAAAUGCUUAGAUAUGACAUAGAACACCAAUUGCGAAGGCAGCUGGCUACACGAAUAUUGACACUGAUGCACGAAAGCGUGGGGAUCAAACAGG